rfam:Charadrius vociferus contig63357, whole genome shotgun sequence.
CACGUCUCCAUGAAGGCUUGGCCUGAAAGCCCCCCCGGUGUGGGGCGGGCCUGGCCUGAUCCUGCGGG